rnacentral:lncRNA from 1 species
GGAAGAACACCCCAGAUUACACAAGUCCAAUGUCUCUUCCAAAGCCGCGAGUCAGAUGCCAUCACUCGCUCCCUGAGACGGGGUGGAGAGAGGGUCCAGAAGUGUUAUCUACGUGGAGUUGUCUCCACAGGGAUGGAAAUACCAGAAGUGGGAAGACGAGUCUCCCGGUAGCUAUCUCACAGGUUUGGUGCGAAAGUGAAAUAAAUUCGGGCCUAAGGAGGAAUCACAUUUCUCCGUGCUUCUGCUUCCGAGGACAAUAUUAGGUAAACUGAGAGGCAGAAAGAGAAUUCCAGAGUCGGGCAGAGUUACGGAUAGAAGAGCUUCAAGUUUCAGGCUGGAAGCGACCUUCACAGACUAUCUUAUCCCUAAUCGGACUGCCAGGUGGGGCCACGUAGAAUGCAGCCCUGUUUCUUAGGUCUGCCGUGUUCUCCUCCGAAGUGUUCUCGUUGAGAAGGUAAACUUGCUUAAAUACCUUUCCUUUUUUUUUUCUUUUUUCUUUUUUUCCCUUCUUUUGUCUUUUCAGGGCUGCACCUGCAAUAUAUGGAAGUUCCCAAGCCACGGGUUGAAUGAGAUCUGCAGCUGCCAGCCUACAUCACAGCCACAGCAACACCAGAUCUGAGCUGCAUCUGCGACUUACACCUGAGCUUGCGGCAACACCGAAUCCUUAACCCACUGAACAAGGCCAGGGAUUGAACUCCCAUCCCUGUGGAUACCAGUUGGGUUCUUCACCCACUGAGCCACAACGGGAACUCCUCAAAUAUUUUUCAGUGACAAAUUCUUGACCACAUUCCAUACUUAUUCUCACUGAAAAUUCCAGAUGAAUGGUUUUACUUUUUCUUGGAGUUAAUAUUUGCUAUUCUUGAAAUAAUGGACAUUAAUACUAUUAUAAUUACUUUCAACAAAACAAACCAAACAGGGCGACCAGAGCAAGACUUGAGGGCCUCUUGGACAAAGCUUCCUCACCCUGGCACGCUGGCCC